GUGUUCGCUUUGGCAGCACAUACACUACAAUUGGAACAAACAGAGAUUAGCAUGGCCCCUGAGCAAGGAUGACACGCAAUUUCAUGAAGCGUUCCAUAUAAAA